UACGUAGGGGGCUAGCGUUGUCCGGAAUCAUUGGGCGUAAAGAGCGUGUAGGCGGUCCGGUAAGUCCGCUGUGAAAGUCGGGGGCUCAACCCUCGAAUGCCGGUGGAUACUGUCGGGCUAGAGUGCGGAAGAGGCGAGUGGAAUUCCUGGUGUAGCGGUGAAAUGCGCAGAUAUCGGGAGGAACACCAAUGGCGAAGGCAGCUUGCUGGGACGGUACUGACGCUGAGGCGCGAAAGCGUGGGGAGCAAACAGG
rnacentral:rRNA from 1 species